rnacentral:tRNA from 4 species
AUCUUUUUAGUACUAAACAGUAUAAGUGACUUCCAAUUACAUGGUCUUGGUUAAACUCCAAGAAAAGAUA